rnacentral:rRNA from 1 species
UACGGGGGGGGCAAGCGUUGUUCGGAAUUACUGGGCGUAAAGGGCUCGUAGGCGGCCAACUAAGUCAGACGUGAAAUCCCUCGGCUUAACCGGGGAACUGCGUCUGAUACUGGAUGGCUUGAGUUCGGGAGAGGGAUGCGGAAUUCCAGGUGUAGCGGUGAAAUGCGCAGAUAUCAGGAGGAACACCGAUGGCGAAGGCAGGGUCUCUGGGCAUUAACUGACGCUGAGGAGCGAAAGCAUGGGGAGCGAACAGGA